rnacentral:rRNA from 1 species
AACGAACGCUGGCGGCAUGCCUAACACAUGCAAGUCGAACGAACCCUUCGGGGUUAGUGGCGCACGGGUGCGUAACGCGUGGGGAUCUGCCCUUUGCUUCGGAAUAACAGUUAGAAAUGACUGCUAGUACCGGAUGAUGUCGAAAGACCAAAGAUUUAUCGGCAAAGGAUGAACCCGCGUAGGAUUAGCUAGUUGGUGGGGUAAAGGCCUACCAAGGCGACGAUCCUUAGCUGGUCUGAGAGGAUGAUCAGCCACACUGGGACUGAGACACGGCCCAGACUCCUACGGGAGGCAGCAGUGGGGAAUAUUGGACAAUGGGCGAAAGCCUGAUCCAGCAAUGCCGCGUGAGUGAUGAAGGCC